rnacentral:rRNA from 1 species
AAAGCAUCUAAGCGGGAAGCGAGCCUUGAGAUGAGUUCUCCCUGAUACUUUAAGUAUCCUAAAGGGUUGUCGUAGACUACGACGUUGAUAGGCAGGGUGUGUAAGCGUUGUGAGGCGUUGAGCUAACCUGUACUAAUUGCCCGUGAGGCUUAACCAUACAACACCCAAGGGGUUU